AAGACUGGACUUGGAGGGCUCGCUCAGUUCCUGACUAGAGAAGGCUGUCUGAAGAUGGAGAGUACUGGAAACAUGAACAGGAGGCUCAGCAUCCUCUCCUGUGCACACAGCUGCCUUUCGCUCUCGCCUCACUGCACCCACCAUUUGCAACAAGUGUCCUCUUCUUCUGGGAGGGUGAGAGGGAAAAGGUGCCACCUCAGUGUG